rnacentral:tRNA from 2 species
ACUAUUUUGGCAGAAAAGUGCCGUGAAUUUAGAAUUCAUUUAUGUAGGGAAUCUUACAAAUAGUAC